AUUGAACGCUGGCGGCAUGCCUUACACAUGCAAGUCGAACGGCAGCACGGGGGCAACCCUGGUGGCGAGUGGCGAACGGGUGAGUAAUGCAUCGGAACGUGCCCAGUAGUGGGGGAUAACUAGUCGAAAGAUUAGCUAAUACCGCAUACGACCUAUGGGUGAAAGCGGGGGAUGCAGCACUUAAUGUUUUGGGAUGGCUACUUGUGGCCGCCUCGGACAGCUCAGGUUGAGAACAUUAAGUGCUGCACCUCGCGCUAUC
rnacentral:rRNA from 1 species